GAUGAACGCUAGCUACAGGCCUAACACAUGCAAGUCGAGGGGUAACGAGAGGAAAGCUUGCUUUCCUUGUCGACGACCGGCGCACGGGUGAGUAACGCGUAUCCAACCUGCUCCCAACUAGGGAAUAACCUUGCUAAAGUAAGACUAAUACCCGAUAAUUUCCUCAGAUGUCAUCUGACGAGGAAUAAAGAUUUAUCGGUUGUGGAUGGGGAUGCGUCUGAUUAGAGUGUUGGCGGGGUAACGGCCCACCAAGGCAACGAUCAGUAGGGGUUCUGAGAGGAAGGUCCCCCACAUUGGAACUGGGACACGGGCCAAACUCCUACGGGAGGCAGCAGUGAGGAAUAUUGGUCAAUGGGCGGAAGCCUGAACCAGCCAAGUAGCGUGCAGGAUGACGGCCCUAUGGGUUGUAAACUGCUUUUAUACAGGAAUAAAGUUAGCCACGUGUGGUUAUUUGUAGGUACUGUAUGAAUAAGGACCGGCUAAUUCCGUGCCAGCCGCCGCGGUAA
rnacentral:rRNA from 1 species